CACGUAGGGCGCAAGCGUUGUCCGGAAUUAUUGGGCGUAAAGAGCUCGUAGGCGGUCUGUUGCGUCCGCUGUGAAAACUCGGGGCUUAACCCCGAGCCUGCAGUGGAUACGGGCAGACUAGAGGGUAGGUAGGGGAGAAUGGAAUUCCCGGUGUAGCGGUGAAAUGCGCAGAUAUCGGGAGGAACACCAGCGGCGAAGGCGGCGCUCUGGGCCGGUACUGACACUGAGGAGCGAAAGCGUGGGUAGCAAACAGG
rnacentral:rRNA from 1 species